AGAAUCAACGCUGGCGGCGUGCCUAACACAUGCAAGUCGCACGAGAAAGGGUAGCAAUACCUGAGUACAGUGGCGCACGGGUGAGUAACACGUGAAUAAUCUACCUCCGAGUGGGGAAUAACUGAGAGAAAUCUUAGCUAAUACCGCAUAAUACCCACGGGUCAAAGCAGCAAUGCGCUUGGAGAGGAGUUCGCGGCAGAUUAGUUAGUUGGCGGGGUAAUGGCCCACCAAGACGAUGAUCUGUAUCCGGCCUGAGAGGGCGCACGGACACACUGGAACUGAAACACGGUCCAGACUCCUACGGGAGGCAGCAGUGGGGAAUUUUGCGCAACGGGGGAACCCUGACGCAGCAACGCCGCGUGGAGGAUGAAGCCCCUUGGGGUGUAAACUCCUUUCGAUCGGGAAGAUAAUGACGGUACCGAUAUAAGAAGCCCCGGCUAACUUCGCGCCAGCAGCCGC
rnacentral:rRNA from 1 species